UGCUGGAAGGAAGUUAACAGAUUGUUACCCAACCCCGUCAGGUCUGAGAAGAAGCAGCGGCAAGUAUUCAGUUUGUGUAAUGAACUUCCAGCUUUU
rnacentral:SRP_RNA from 1 species